rnacentral:misc_RNA from 1 species
CGCACCUUGCACCUUUUGGUAUUCCGAAAGGUACAUCUGUUUGAGUGUCAUGAAUCCCUCAACCUCUACGUUUUCUUUGUAAAGCGUCAGAGCGUUGGAUGCUGAGCGUUGCUGUGUCACCACAGCUCGCUUCAAAUGUAUAAGCAAUCUUGUCAUCAACUGGAUUGACUCGGCGUGAUAAGAUCUUCGUCGAGGAUGCUUCUAUAGCAGCCAGAUGGUGCGCAAGUCGCUCCAAAACCUGUAGCGGCCUCGGCUGCCUCAUCCUUACAUUUAGACCUCAAAUCAGAUGGGACUACCCGCUGAACUUAA